rnacentral:miRNA from 2 species
AACACACCUGGUUAACCUUUUU